AGGUAUCUGAGUAUAUGGGGAUGAACGGAAUAGAUUCAAUGUUGGGGUAACGAGAAAAGCAAAAGGGGGAACAUUUUCCCCCUUUUAAGAUAACU
rfam:Bacteria symbiont BFo1 of Frankliniella occidentalis strain BFo1 contig140, whole genome shotgun sequence.